rfam:Aspergillus bombycis strain NRRL26010 contig00182, whole genome shotgun sequence.
GGGGUGAUAGCUCAGUUGGGAGAGCGUUUGACUGAAGUCUACUUCGAUCAGUAAAACCCAUCGGGUUAUCAGAAGGUCGCCGGUUCGAUCCCGGUUCACCCCA